AAAUGCGAUAAGUAAUGUGCAUUGCAGAAUUCAGUGAAUCAUCGAAUCUUUGAACGCACCUCGCGCUCCUUGGUAUUCCUUGGAGCAUGCCUGUUUGAGUAUCAUGAAAUCUUCAAAGUAAAUCUUUUGUUAACUCAAUUGGUUUCUACUUUGGUAUUGGAGGUCUUUGCAGCUUCACACCUGCUCCUCUUUGUUCAUUAGCUGGAUCUCAGUGUUAUGCUUGGUUCCACUCGGCGUGAUAAGUUAUCUAUCGCUGAGGACACUGUAAAAGGUGGCCAAGGUAAAUGCAGAUGAACCGCUUCUAAUAGUCCAUUGACUUGGACAAUACUUUUAUGAUCUGAUCUCAAAUCAGGUAGGACUACCCGCUGAACUUAAGC
rnacentral:misc_RNA from 1 species